rnacentral:rRNA from 1 species
AGAGUUUGAUCAUGGCUCAGAUUGAACGCUGGCGGCAUGGCUAAAACAUGCAAGUCGAACGAUUAAAGCNUCUUCGGAAGUGCAUAAAGUGGCGUAAGGGCGAGGAAUAUAUUUCUAUGUACCCCUAAGUCGAGGAUAGCCCAGGGAAACUUGGUGUAAUACUCGAUGUGGUCUCCGGAUCAAAGAUUUAUCGCUUAGGGAGCAGGGAAUAUCCUAUCAGGUUGUUGGUGAGGUAACGGCUCACCAAGCCAAAGACGGGUAGCGGGUGUGAGAGCAUGACCCGCCGCAUCGGAACUGAGACACUGUCCGGACUCCUACGGGAGGCUGCAGUAACGAAUAUUCCGCAAUGAGCGAAAGCUUGACGGAGCAAUGCCGCGUGCAGGAUGAAUCUCUUCGGAGUGUAAACUGCUGUCAGAGACUAGGAACUCAAUGA